AUUUGGCUUUGUAGUGGCCAGGUGGGACACAUGAUUCAGUCAUUGCGCAGAACAACAGUUCAGUUGCCCUUAACCUCCAGACGGGAGCUGUUGAGUAUGGAUGGCUUAUUGGAGACCGGGGCUACCCAUUAAAAACCAUGGCUGAUGACUCCCCUCACAAACCAACAAGAUGCAAGGUUUGCUACAUUGUCAAGGCUUGCAGUGUGCGCCACAACAUUACAUUCAAAAAUGGCCUUCCACUGAAUGAUCCACCCAGAUCCGAUGAGCCCAUGACUGACGGAGUGUUUCCCACCACCCAUAGCUCUGGAACUGAAGACAAGAGUCAAUAUCAUACAACGGUUUAAAGGUACCUG